UGCUUGCUCGUCAAUGCAACUGCCACCUAGUGGUCACAUUGAAAAUAGCCACUAUCAACCAACCCGCAGUUCUACAGGACCAAGCGUCUCAUCUCUUGAUUUGAGCGCAACUUCAUUGGGGAAGAACUGUGUAGAAUUUGGGGUAAAAACUCUCACAUGUUCCGUCCAGAUUCAACAACCAUUUACCCUGGACAAAUAUGUGUCUGGAGUAUUAAUAUUCUAUAAGUUAUUUAGAUAACAGUUUUUGGAGAAGAACAAGGUCGGGACGGGGUGUUGUUUUCGUUGAUCUAUCCAACGCCCAGUGUAUCCCCGCCCCUCUGGCCACACCCAUCCCUGUUAGCGAUGAGCCCAGUGGCCACGCCCUGUGCUGACCUAAUCAGAUAGCCCCAGUACAGGCCUGCCCCGCAUGCCCUACUCUGUCCCCGUGUCGGAGCACAUGGAGGAGUGCAGCGUGAUCCCUGACGAUCUGGACAGCCUGCUUGGGGGAUGACUGCAUCUCCGAGAAAGUCAGCGAGUCACAGAGCCCAGUCCAAGGUGCUAUCCCCACCAACCUCCCCAACACAGCUGUGGGCCUGCACCCUCCAUACUCCUCCAGCCCCCUCACCCCAGCUACCCCCUGCCUUCUUCAGCUUCACUGUCAGCCAGAUGUCCGCUCUGGAGACCUACCCCUCGCUGGGCCAGAGGGACCAGACCUCCACACAGGUGCUGGAUGCCCUGGGGGCCUUUUCCCCGGAGGCUGGGGACACAGAGGGCAAAGGAGGGGCUGGAAUUGGAGGGCUGGACUCCCUCUCUGAGUACAUCUUGCCUGACAUAUGAACAAGGUGUAUGGAUCCGGGUGUGUGUUUUGGUGAUGUCAAUUAUAUUGAAAACAGCAAAGCCAUUGUAGCAGGCUUUUUUUUUUCUCUAUCCAGUCUUAUUUUGCAACCAUACAGUUUAAACCUGCAUCAGCUGUUACUUAAACCUUCCCGGAACUGCCCAGUGACCCUGAACAGUCCUCUGGGAAUGUGUUUGUUGAAGCUAGUUUGUGUCAGCAGCACUGCUGUAUGGCCACAUGGUGUCUGGUAUCCCUGUGUCCUUGUGUUGCAGUUCUGUUCUCCAGGGGGAAGAAUUUCUCACAGUAUCAUCUCUGGGAUCUACAAACACAGCUCCCCUCACACAGUUUGUGGGAUAUGGACUACCAGUACCAGGCAGAAGCAGCUCACCGCUGUAAGAGGGACCUGCUGCUGUCUCGCUUCAAGAACAAAGAAGACCCCACCAAAAUAACUUCCUGGGGGCCUUUGUGUUUUGCAAAGAGGUCCAGGAGCGCCAGGAAUGCCAGUAUGGGGAGAACUGCACGUUUGCCUACUGCCAGGAGGAAAUAUACCUGUGGACCCAGGAGAGGAAGGGGGCUCUGAGAAGGGAGCUGCCGUUUGACCCGCUGAGCAGCACCGAGAGACGGGCACUCAGCGUCACACUCCUGCUGCAGCAGCACAUGGGCAUGUUCAUGUUCCUCUAUGAGAAUAUUUUGACAGUAAGCCUCCCAUCAUCAGCAAGUGCAGCAAAGAGAACUUGGCUGUCUGCUCAAACCUCACUGCCCGGCAUCCCUUUGAUAAGUGCCUAGUGCAUGUGGUGUGUUCUGCCAACGUGCGCCACAGUAAGGUGCUAUAGCCAGUUUGACAUGUGUCGCCACGAGGUGCGUUACGGCUGCCAGCGCGAGGACAGCUGCUCCUUUGCCCACUCCGUCAUAGAACUCAAGUGCCAGGUAUCACCCAUGAGAUGGUACAGAAGUACAAGAGGCUCCGGUACAGGCUAGAGCAAAAUGCACAGAAACAGAAGCCUGUGCACGUCACAUACCAGAGCUGUGGUGGGGGGAAUAGGGGGAGUGGGAGACAACCUCGGGUGGAGGGGAUGGCACAGGGUUAAAUCUGAAGAUGAGGUUUGUCUGUGGCCAGAUGGAUGGACAUGUCCACAAACCAGACAAGGCCCUCAAGUACUGCACAACAGCUGGACUAAGGAGCGUUGGGUAUUGCUGGUGAAGUCUUUGGAGAAGAAGAAGUUGGUCGUUGUGCGGCCUCUUCUCCCGUGCAUACCCACAGCAGUAUGACGCAGUCAUUUCCAGCAGACCUCUCACAUGCUGAAUACAGCUGAUGUUGUUUACAGCUCUCCUCCUCUCGUCUUUACACCUAUAGGCAGCUUGGCCUUUGUUCCACGUCUCCCUAGAUGUGUGUCCAUGUGAUGAAGCAGAAGAAGUGCCACUGACAUCGGGAACUGUUCCUUCGCCCACAUUCUGGAAGAAAGGGACGUCUGGACGUACAUGAAGAACAACAGCUUGAGGGACAUGCAGCAGAUGUUUGACAUGUGGCUCAGGCUGACCAGUCAGAAUAGACUCACUGAUGCAAGCCUUAUGGCCUUGCCUCUGGAGGAGAAAUGGGUUUCCCUGACGACAGAUUCCACUGAGUCAUUGGUGAGUGGCUUAAGUCAUAGGGGCGGUGGGGUACUAAGGUAACAUGGAACUGUUUUAAGAUGGUCAUUAGCUAUUUGAUUUGUAAUUUUACGACCCCUUUAGGGAUCCCCCAAAAAUAAAAAAUACAGGAUUUGAUAAAAUAUAGAAUUUGGCCUUUUCUACUAUAGCCCAUAGAAACACAUUGAGUAACAGGUUCAUAAAUGGCAAAAAAGACACACUUCAAAACCUUAUGAUUUAUUUUUUGACUAUGUGCCAAAUCUAGGAGAUAUGAGAAAGCUCAGGAAAUAUUUAUGUUUUUCUGGACACAUUUGAUCCCUUACUUAGGCAGUAGAUUGAGACGCAGCCCGUGCAAAAACCCUGAUAGCUCUAGCUUGAACUAAUGGAUUUUGAUGGGGAUUUUUUAUGUUACUUAGAUUUGAUUCACAGCUGUGUCAGUAGACUCCUUAAGGAUUAAAAACAAGUGGUAUAUUCUUUUUAUACAAGCCUUUUCUGAUGUUGGAUGUGGAGAAACCCAUUUUGUGAGUGUCAGUCUGGGCAGAAGGAGGAGAUGUGUGAGUGUUUUCAGGCUGAGGCUGAGCCGCUCCCUGGAGCUGUGGAUAAGUGACCCUGAUCCCACUACACCAGAGACCAGCUACAGUACCUACCGCCUGUGACGAGAGUCUGAAUGCGAACACACACACCCCUUACAGUACGACAAAUUGCUGAUGCAACAGGCACCGCCUUGUGCGAUGCACACACAGAAAGUAAUGUAUAAGAAAAUGCGUGUCCAUAAUCUGAGGGGUUUGACUAAGGUUUGGCUGUUAUUAACUUCAAUCUGAGCCUCAUUGCAUUUCUAGCACGCUGCAGAUGUCACUGUACUGGACGUGUCUGCCCUUCCCCUAUAUUACAGCCCUCAGUCGCCCCUUUACAAAUACGGAGUGGCUGCAUGGCUGAAUUCUCUUGACACCUCUUCCCGAUCGCUAAACAACCAAACAAAUUAGGCUACAAAAUAUAUAUAUUUUUGAAAUGUUAUUUCAAAUCGCUGUGGGUUUUUUAUUUCAGCUGUUCAGAAAUAUGAUGCAGAGAAAUGUGCAGAACGUGUUUAGGUUGUUUAGCUCUGGGGAAGAGGUGUGUCUAAGGGGGUUAAACUGGGCGGUCACUCAGCCUUACCAUUAAGCCCUUAUAUAUGUUGCUAGGGACAAACGUCUUCAACCAAAUCCUUCCCUCCUUUCCUUGUAGGAACGUAGAAAGGUGGAGAGUGAAAUAGGACAGAAAUUGUGAGUACGCCAUUUUGUUUGUCCAUGGUAGUUAGUGCUUAACUCUAUUUGUCUGCAAUAUUGGUAGAGGACUAUGAAUGUAAAGCCAGUCAAUGCCAUAAUGAGAAAGCCAUCAAAUUAUAUAUGGUUGUGGAAUGUAUUCGGAAUACCCAAGACAAAUCUUAUAUAACAUUUAAAAUGAACCCCUACCCCACCUAUCCUCCCCUUUAUUGAUAGAAAUUGCAUAGCAGUCUUUUGGUUACAUAAGCAAGUCAGGCAACCCAACCUGUGGUCAGCACUGACAUGUAUACGCAUUCACAUACAUAUGCACUGAGCAGGCUCAGAAUGGAACACCGUGUUUCAUAAUAUGGCAUUGACAUUGGAGGACUAUAGGGGUCAAAGUGACUGUAGCAGUUCAGCUUCAGUUCUCGCAGACUCUUCACUCGGACCCACUCAAACAUACUGUGCCGUAUGCUUAGAGCCUAGAGUUUUUGUGGACCACAUGAACAAGUCCUGGUUUGUCUUGGUCAGUAGGGCUGGCACAAUUACAGCAUAAUCCUGAAACCGACGAACCAUUGUUGUUAUUAUUUUUCACAACCGUUUUGUUUUUAUUUACGAACGACUGACUGAAGACGGGACAGUCGGUUAUUCGUGUGGUUGAGUCGGUUUCUGCGGCAACACGGACUCUUCACAACGUGAUGAAUCUUUGUUGCUCCUUGCUGAAACAAGCAAGUUGUUGUAGCAAACAAGUAUUUGGUUGCCUAGGCAAUGCCCCCACCCUGCAGUCGGGAGAGGAGACAACUUGCAGUCAGGAGGAGAGGAGAAAAUGUGCCUCUUAAAAUCCCCAAAAAAGACCAAUAACCAUCAUCCAAAAUUCCAUGAUUGUCACAGCCCUCCUGGUCAGGUGACGUGGCUUCAUUUGGCAUGUGGACCACCAGUUUAACUAGGAUAACGUGAAGUUACCUUUGCCACAUUAGCCCUCAAAUGUAAACCUACGCUGAUUAAUCAAGGGAAAACUGAUUGUCUGGGAUGAGGUGUCAGAGUUCAUGAAAAGAUGAUAAGCACGAUAUCAAUGAAGACAUAAAAAGUAAAUGAAAAGUAAGGUAGGACUACCCAUAAUUUACACUUAAAGGUACGUUUUUAGCCUAGUCUUAAAUUUAGAUGUGUGUGUAUAUACAUACAUGCAUACUGUGACGGCCCUGAAUUUUAUGAACCGUCUCAGUGCUUCUCCUUCCAAUAGGGCGCUUCCCCUUCAAUUGCCAAUUAAAUAGGGCUUUUCCUUCCAAUAGGGUGCUUUCCCUUUAAUUCCCAAUUAAAUAGCCAGCAUCAGCUGCGCAAAAGUGGGGUUGUGAUGGAGACGUGAAUGAGGAUGUUUUCAACCCUCAGUCCUGAAGCUUCUCUAUUCUGUUUGUUUUGUUGCAUUUAAAUGUGUGUUUUGUAGCCUAAUAGAGUUUACCCAGGAUCGGAUCCACUCUUUGUGUCUGUGGACUACACCUCU